GACGAACGCUGGCGGCGUGCUUAAUACAUGCAAGUCGAACGGAAAGGCCCUGCUUUUGUGGGGUGCUCGAGUGGCGAACGGGUGAGUAACACGUGAGUAACCUGCCCUUGACUUUGGGAUAACUUCAGGAAACUGGGGCUAAUACCGGAUAGGAGCUCCUGCUGCAUGGUGGGGGUUGGAAAGUUUCGGCGGUUGGGGAUGGACUCGCGGCUUAUCAGCUUGUUGGUGGGGUAGUGGCUUACCAAGGCUUUGACGGGUAGCCGGCCUGAGAGGGUGACCGGCCACAUUGGGACUGAGAUACGGCCCAGACUCCUACGGGAGGCAGCAGUGGGGAAUAUUGCACAAUGGGCGGAAGCCUGAUGCAGCAACGCCGCGUGCGGGAUGACGGCCUUCGGGUUGUAAACCGCUUUCGCCUGUGACGAAGCGUGAGUGACGGUAAUGGGUAAAGAAGCACCGGCUAACUACGUGCCAGCAGCCGCGGUGAUACGUAGGGUGCGAGCGUUGUCCGGAUUUAUUGGGCGUAAAGGGCUCGUAGGUGGUUGAUCGCGUCGGAAGUGUAAUCUUGGGGCUUAACCCUGAGCGUGCUUUCGAUACGGGUUGACUUGAGGAAGGUAGGGGAGAAUGGAAUUCCUGGUGGAGCGGUGGAAUGCGCAGAUAUCAGGAGGAACACCAGUGGCGAAGGCGGUUCUCUGGGCCUUUCCUGACGCUGAGGAGCGAAAGCGUGGGGAGCGAACAGGCUUAGAUACCCUGGUAGUCCACGCUGUAAACGGUGGGUACUAGGUGUGGGGUCCAUUCCACGGGUUCCGUGCCGUAGCUAACGCUUUAAGUACCCCGCCUGGGGAGUACGGCCGCAAGGCUAAAACUCAAAGGAAUUGACGGGGCCCCGCACAAGCGGCGGAGCAUGCGGAUUAAUUCGAUGCAACGCGUAGAACCUUACCUGGGUUUGACAUGGAUCGGGAGUGCUCAGAGAUGGGUGUGCCUCUUUUGGGGUCGGUUCACAGGUGGUGCAUGGCUGUCGUCAGCUCGUGUCGUGAGAUGUUGGGUUAAGUCCCGCAACGAGCGCAACCCUUGUUCACUGUUGCCAGCACGUUAUGGUGGGGACUCAGUGGAGACCGCCGGGGUCAACUCGGGGGAAGGUGGGGAUGACGUCAAGUCAUCAUGCCCCUUAUGUCCAGGGCUUCACGCAUGCUACAAUGGCUGGUACAGAGAGUGGCGAGCCUGUGAGGGUGAGCGAAUCUCGGAAAGCCGGUCUCAGUUCGGAUUGGGGUCUGCAACUCGACCUCAUGAAGUCGGAGUCGCUAGUAAUCGCAGAUCAGCAACGCUGCGGUGAAUACGUUCCCGGGGCU
rnacentral:rRNA from 1 species